UUUGGAGCGCACAGGAAAGACGAAGCAUUGGGGUCCCAGCUUGGGCUUAUUAUAGUAAUCAAGAUGAGAAUAGAUGGUCUAAACCAAAAAGAAGUCCCGACAGGCACACCUCAUUUCUUUUUCGUAGAUAGAGUUACCAACCAUGGCUGCUGUGAUGUCAGACAUUCCAUCUUCAACAUCUUCUCUCUCAGAGUUCACAGAGCCUCAAUUUUACUUGGAAGUAUAUAUUGGUUAUUUUGUAAGACUCCUCAUGCCUAUAAACCCAUCUUCACACAUCCCGUAGUUAAUUCACUGCUUCCCCCAGAAGACCUGCUCAGACGAGUAUCUUUAACAUCAUAGGAAAUGGCAAUUGAAUCCUCGCCUUGUUCCAGUCAAGCAUCCCGAGUCAUUCUUCAUUCUCUUUUCUCACACACCGUGAGAAAAUCCACCCAACAAAUGGUUAAUUUCCCUUUAUCUGGCCCUUCUUUCCACGGGUAUUGCUCUAACCCACUCCAGGCUUUUCUCACCCAGCUUUCUACAAUAAGCCUCUGCAGGAAAUCCCUGCUUCUUGCCUAGGCCACACACCCUCACUAUCCUUUCAAGUCAUGGCCCUCCUCUGAGAAAACCCUCCAAUGGCUCCUCACUUGUUCAGAAUCCAAGUCUUCACACAGCCCUCGGUUCCCCUGAUGAGAGGACUGCCAUUCUUUUCAACCUCCCAACAUACUCCCUAUCUCACUGGUUCUAUCCACAGUGCUUUUGCCUGAUUGUGCCAGCAAGACACACUGCCGCCUAAGGCCUGUGCACUAACUGUCCUCUGACGAGAGCGCUUCUUCCAGAUCCUUCCUAUCGAGGUUGAGCAUCUGUCUUGGUUUGCCUGAUACACCUGUUAUCCCCAAAUGCUAAGCACGGACCUUUAAGCAUGCCGGUUUAGAUGCUAUUACGUGACCAGCCUACUCAUGCUUCACGGCCUUGUGUCUAUCAGGUCUGCCCAAUCUCAUCCCUCAUGGAGGACUCUGAACUCCUAAAGUUGUAGAAACAGGACCCAGCCCGGCACUGCUAUCAUCUUCUCUCCACUUCACACUCCCUGUCCUCAGUGCUUCCCGUAUCCAGCUGUGCUCCAUUGCUUUAUUUUCAUUGUGUUUUAUUUCCUGUGUUCUGUCACAAAAACAUAAACUCCCCCAAGGAUAGAUGACUUGAAUAUUUUGUUCUCAGUACCGUGUCCCAUAGCUGAAAGUUUUCCUGUGUCCCGUCUGGCCCGCGGUCAGGACAAAUGUCUCUCACCCGCCGGUCCUACAGCCACUCGGACCCAAAUGAACACCCACAGGCUAAUACUAUUUUUAAACUAUGGCCAUAGUAGGCUUCUCGUUAUCCAGUUCUUGUAUCUUAAAUUAACCCAUUUCUAUAAAUCUAUAUUUUGCCAUAUGGCUUGUGGCUUACUGGUACCUUUACAUCUUGUUUCUUCUUCUGGCAGCCAGCAGUGUCUCCUCUACUCUGUCUUCUACUUUCCCCUCUCACUCUUUAGAAUGCCCCUCCUAACCUUAUUCUGCCUCACCAUUGGUCAAACAGCUUUAUUUAUCAACCAAUCAGAGCAACAUAUUUUCACAGCAUACAGAAAACAUUCCCCCAUCAGUGUCCCAGCAUCUGGAGCAGUACCUAGCAUGGGGAAGUCCUUCUCUCCUUACCUGUCCCCAGCAAUCACUGUGGUUAGAAUCCUGGUCCCUUCCCACAUGAAUAGGAGAGGAGAGAAACAGUCCUCAAAAUAAGCUAAGUUCUCCUAAAAUAAAUGGUGCUAAGAAAAAAAAGAAAGGAAAAAAAUUGCCAACCAUACAUAUUUCAUUUAUGUGUGUGUGUGUGUGUAUGUGUGUGUGUGUGUGUGUGUGUGUGUGUGUGUGUGUGUGUACACAUAUAUAUAAAACAUUGCAGAACCCGGGCGGUGGUGGAGCACACCUUUAAUCCCAGCACUCGGGAGGCAGAGGCAAGCGAAUCUCUGUAAGUUCAAGGCCAGCCUGGUCUACAGAGUGAGUUCCAGGAGAGGCACAAAGCAGCUACACAGAGAAACCCUGUCUCAAAAAACAAAAGACAAAAAACCAAACCAAAAAAAAAACACUGCAGGAUGCUGAAUUUACUGAAAACAUUUGUCUACCCCAAUACAUUGUUCACUGAAAGUGUGUAUUUUUCCACACAUUGAGGCUCUGAUUCCACAUUUUGAUAAGCUCUUUGCAAUUUUCCUACCCGGUAACUGAUUUACUUUGCUUUAAUAAGACAUAUUACUAAAAUACUACACAUCCCUUAACCAUAAAUGCUGUUUUCCUCUCUUUUGCUAUGUGAAAUAACUGUAUAUAUCUUCCCUUUAUCUAUGGUGAAUGUUAGGAUGUGACAGCUGUAUUUGUUUUUCAUGAUGCACGUGAAUGAUAGCACCUCCUAGGCUGAUUUAUCCCCUUCUUUCUACCCACGGUGAUGUCACUACACUACUUCAGCUUGAAAAUAUGAAUACUGAGACAACGGCUGCUUUAACUCCAGAGAACGCUCUGCCCCAUCAACCAAUAACUUCACUCAAAAGAUAAAAAAAAAAAAGAGACAGAAAAAUAAAUAUUUCGCAGAGCCAUCAAAGCCAAAUAAACAAACUGUAAUUCCUGAACACCACAUCGGGUGUAGAGACUGCAAAAAGAUUGCUUUGGUUAAGAUACAAGACACAGUCACUCCCAAGAAAUUAAAAUCAGUUAAAAAAAUACUUGUCAAAAUGCUAGAUACAAAGGCAGCUAUGCUGAGUGUUUUAAGGAGAACGGGGAAUACCUGGCUCUUGUCAGUCAAUAACGUAUCUGACACAAAUAAUGAUUGAAAACUGACAGCUACACGAUGCGAUUUAAAAGCCUCAAGCUCCAACAAAUGAAAAGGUUGAAAUCUGUGGCAGAAUCACUAUGGAUGGUUUCCUGUAUCCACAAAAUUGACCCCUGACCUCAAAGCAUCUCCAGAGCCAAUAUUUUAAGAGGAUCAAGUACUGUAAGCCUGUGACUUCAUGCCAAGGAAAAUGUAAGAAUUGUCUUUAAGACUUUUCCUCCAAAUGAUGCUCCCUACUGUUUUCUCCUCUUAUGGAGCCAAUCCAGGUUGCUUCUGGUGGCAAACCUUGGGAACUGGGAAGAUACCAUACUUUUCUAAGGAUCCAUUUUCUAAAGACAGUGCACAUUACUGUAUCCACAGAAUAAUCUUCCCCACCUCAUUGCACUAAGAAGAAUGCAGGCAAUUCUCUCACAGCUAAAUUCCAUGCAAAAAUCAACAUUUUGAAGUUACCAAAAUCCAGUCCGUUGGUGACAUGGAGUAAACUACUACAGAGAUGAGAUGAGGGAAUCUACACAUUAAAAAAAAGACAUAAGAAAAUGGGGACUGUGGGGGAAAAUGAAGUGGGAAAGAGAAUAGUAAGUAAUAAAGGUUAAUUUAAUUAAAGCACAUUAUAUGUGUGUUUUAAAAUGUUGCAGUGAAGUCAUUAUUGUGGAUAGUUAAUAUGCACUACUAACUUCAGUAAAACAGAGCUAAAACUUUAAGAAGUGAUUAGGCUGACAGGGCUCCCUCCUUGUUAAUGGCGCCCUUAUAAAAGGCUUCCAUACAAAGUUAACUGACUUCAAUCUUCUGCUAUGGAAGAACAAGCAAGAUGCCCCCAGUGAGCCGAAAGUCAACACCUUGACCUUGGAUUCCCAUCCUCCAGAACCAUGAGAAACAGCUGCCUGUUAUUCCAGUAACCCAGCCAGAACUAGUAACCCAGUCAGAACUAGUUUGAAACAACAUAGAUUAAAUGAGCAUCCAAUUACAAAUCACAAAAUCUACCCAGAAGAUUUUUUUAAAAAUCUGUUACUUAGAAAAUUCAACUUCUAGGAUCUAAGUUAUCUAAACUUCAAAUCCACCAAUGACUUGGAAUUUUCUCAUGUUAAACCAAAGAUCAAUAUACUUCUUUAUGAGAACCCAAGUGUCAUGAACAUCAAAGAUAAAAGGAUUGAACAUUUUCAUUUCAAGCAGAGUUUUAAUGUAUUUUGCAAACUGUAAUAAGCUAACCUUGUUACAUCCAAUAGCACUCCUUACUGGAGAAGUCAGGCUAAAAGCUAAACCAGGGCAGCAAAUUAGUGUGAAGCUAGGAAUGGGGUGUAGCUCAGUGGUAGAGUAAUUGUUCAGCAUUUACAAGUCUCUGUGUUCAAUACCCAGCACUAUCACCACAACAACAAUGACAAGAAACUUUGCAAUGAAAUUGAUAUAGAAACUUAGGGUGCUGCAUGCAAAAAUCAACUGUAGUAUAUGACUCCAUAUUAAACAGUAUCAAACAAAUUUAAGCAAAAUGUCACAAGAAGAAUUCAUAAAUAAGCUCAAGAGAGAUAGGGGUAACUUUACAGUGGAAGCUUGAAGUGUAGGCAGAAUUCCUAUAUAUAAAAAUAAUAUAAGUCAAAAAGUUGAAAGGAAGGGAACCAGUGACUACCCUCAACAGAGCAGAAAGCAAAAAACAAAAAAACAAACAAACAAAAAACCCUGGAUGAUGUGCAGAGCACAGAAUGUCACACUAAGAGCACAGACAAGAGAAAUUAGCAUGAAAAGGAACUUUCUGUGCUGUCUUAGGGUUAUUAUUGCUGUGAAGAGACACCAUGACCACAGCAAAUCUUACAAAAGAAAACAUUUAAUUGGGAUGGCUUACAGUUCAGAGGUUUAGUCCAUUAACAUCAUGGUAAGACAUGGUGGCAUGCAGACAGACAAGGUGCUGGAGAAGGAACUGAGAGUUCUACAUCUUGAUCCAAAGGCAACAGUAAGUAAACUGAGGCGCUGGACAUGGUUUAAGCAUACAUUCAAACUACCAUACCCAUACCCCACUCUGUCUUCAGAAUCUUUCCUUGUGGUAACUCACAAGGGAUGCCAGCAAUAAGCAUAGACAAUAUGCUUGAGACAUGUUUGAGUUAUGGGUGUCUAUAUCAUAUUUUCAACAGGAAGGUGACAUGAUCAAACGAAGUCUUUAAGAAGAAAAACUUGAUAACAUUCAAAACUGAGAAAGGAAGUGUCUGGGAACCAAAGAGGCUUGGGAGAAGCUUGCUGGAAAAUAUAAUCCAUGAUACAUAAGGCUUCCACUCUGCAACCUCUUGCCUCAAGGAAUACUGUCCCCAUCACACAUCUUAAAUUGAUCCAACUACCCUAAAGCAAUCUGCAAAAUUAUAGUGCCCCUUCAAACACCCAUGUCAUUUUUACUGGUACCUACAAGUGCACUUCUUGAGUUUAUGCAUCUUAACCUAUUCCAGGCUUGAUUAGUUAUUUCAUUUCAGCAACACUUUUCUCAGACUUCAAUGAGCAUAGCUAUCAUGUUCUAUUUUAAUUAAAUGCCUAAAAUGGCUAGUUCCUGCAACUUUUGAAAUAUUUGUAGGUAGGGCUUGUGUCCUCUUUAUAUUUUCAAAAUCAGGCACAGCAUCUCAACAGGCCCUCAGUGAAUGUAUGAACUCAAUUACAAGAUGGAAAGAGGACUAUGGACUAACAGGGAAGACCUGAGAAUGAAAUGUAAGAGAAAGCUGCUCUGAGAUGACCUCCAUCAGUGCUCAGCCGCACGGAAUCAUCUACAGCUGCCGGUCUAGGCAGAGUUUGUCUUGUUUGCUUUGUUUCUGCUUUCUGUUUUAUUUAUUUACUUGUGCUCCCAUAUAGCAAUAGUCCUAUCUAGUACUAUUGUAUGGACCUCAAAACCGGCCAUGUGACCUGUUAGAAAGGUGGUCCUUUCUAGGGUAGAAGGCAUGUCAUCCAGGCUGAGCUCAUGGAAAUCCUUCCCUAAAAAUGACUCUCCUUGUAGCUGUGGAGAAGAUUCUGUUUUGCUUGGUGGUCAGGUUGAAAAAAAAAAAAAAAGGUGUGAAUCAUUACAUUUGGCUUCAAGAAAACAAAGGUAUUUUCAGUUUUAUUUAUAGUGGAACAGUGAUGGGCAUAAAAUAAACACUGAAAAAAUGUGAUGUAGAUGUGUUCACAGCUUUAGGUAGCUGUGUUUGAGCUGCAGCUGGGUUUUGAAUCACUAGUAAAUAGAAGACCUAAUCAAUUGAUAAGAAAAUCACCCUGAGGGCUUCAUUACAUUAGUACAGAUUUUGCCAAAAUAUACUAAGAAAAAUUAAAAUGUUUAAAAAUAAUACUACCUUUGUUAAUGCCAUUCCAUCUCAACAAGUAAAAGCUAAGAAGGAUUCAGCUUUUAAAAAAUCAUUUUUCUAAUAUUCAGUUCUUCUGACUAUACAAAGACUUUCUUUGCUGCCUAUGUGAAACAAAGGUUGGACCUGAAACAAUUCAUGCAACUAGGACAUGCAGCAGUAUAUUGGGUUGAAUAUUGGCUCUACAAAACAAUAUGCACCAGUCUUAGGCCUCAGUGCUUGUGAACAUGAACUUAUCUGGGAAAGGUUUUUGCAUGUAUUAGUAUGCUAAAGAUCUCGAAAUGAACUUAAUCUGUGUUUUAGGUGUACCAGGCAUUCAUUCAAGAAAAUAAAGAGGGAGAUUUUUUUGACCAGUGGGAAUCUUGUCAACUUGUUGGAUAAAGAGACACUUAUGAGACUCAUAAAGUACACUUCUAUGUGUCUGAGAGCAUGUUACCAGAGAUGAUUGGUAUAUGGGAUAGCAAUGAGGUGGGAAAACCCAUUCCUAAAUGUGAGAAACACUACCCAAUAGUCUACUAGUCCCGAUGGAAAAAUGCAAAAGAUGAAGGCCUCAGUGUGUGCAAGCUCAACUGCUCUUGAAUUGGGUUUAUUUCCUCUGGUAAUUGUUACCAAUGACUUCUGCCCCAUGCUCAGCUUUGGGUCCACAUGAUAGGACUACUGCUGAGUGUCCUAGCUGCAUGAACUGUUUCAGGACCAACUUUUGUUUCCCAUGAGUAGCAGAGAAAGUCUUUGUAUCAUCAGAACAAUUAAUAUUAGAGAAAUUAUCUUUGAGGGGAUUAAUUUUUCUUAGCUUUUCCUUGUUAAGAUGCAAUGGCAUUAGAAAUUUGGCCAAAAAUAAACCAAAUAAAGCAAAAACAGAAACAACGUCCAACUUCUUCAGCACUACUAUAUGGACCAACACCAGCAACCCUUUAUGAGUAUGUCUAAGCCUGGAGCCUCCCAUUGGGGCUGUGUCAUUGAUCCCUCCUGUUUUGAGGCUUUCUUCUUGCUAUUCGGAGCAAUUCAGGAGCUAUAGACUGACCUGCCUCUUCAGCCUACAGAUAUCUAUCAUGUGAGGAUAUGGCCUCAGAUAACAUAAGCCAAUUAAUAAAUCCCCUUUCUUAAUAUAUGUGCAUACACACGGAAUCCUGACUAACACAGAUGUUGCUACUAGGAGUCAUUGCUCUUAUUCUACUUGGCCAUGUGGUUUGGAAGCCUUGGAAGUGGCUUGUGGGAGGAAUUUGGAAAAGUUUAGAGAAACAGGCUAGAGAGAGCCUGGAGACCAGUAAAACAGAGCUUAAUGGACAUUUAGGUGCAAGCUUGGGAGAACAGAAUGCUGAUAGGAUAGGGGACGCUGGAGACUAGGCUCCAGGAGUUUGAUAUGGGAAUGAAGGUUCUCUUGAGAACCUGACUAGAGACCAUUUGUGUUGCAUUCUAACAAAUAAGUUGCCUUUGCAGCGACUUUGUCCAUGCCCUCAGACUGUGCGAGGCUGAGUUUCAAAGUGGCAAACUGAUUAAUAUAGUGGGAAAAACUUCAAGGCAGCCUAGCAUCCAAGCUGUGGUACAGGAUUAAUAACCGAUUUUCAUCAGUUUAAUUGUGAAAAGCAUGAACAAAAGAGCAGAUUUGACCAUCGUGCAUUCUUUUGUUUUUUUAAAGAAUAAACUUAUGAUUGAAGUCAGGGUGAAGGGAAACAGUUACUGAAGAUAUUUGGUGCUGUUGUAGUGCCAAAUACUUCACACAAAAUCAAUAGGCAAGGAACCUGGAGGGCAUCUCAGGAACUGGCUGGACCUCACCCACAGCAGGUUCAGGGAUGUAAACCAUUUAACUUAUUUGAAAGACUUUCCUUGAAGGAGAGAGCUCUAGGGUUCCCUGCUUGCCCAGGGAUGCCUAGUAACAUGGGUUUUUUUGUUUUGUUUUGUUUGUUUUUGUUUUUGUUUUUGUUUUUGUUUUUGGUGUUUAGCUAGCCAUCAAGGUACAAAUGCCAUGGCCAAAAUAGCCAGGAUUCAAAUGACUCAGGCAGACCUUAAUGUUGUCCGCAAAUGAGAAAAUGUGUGACAGGGUCAGAGUCCCUGUGGGAAGUCCUGACAAGACGGUUGCAUGAAACUGGAGAGUGAAGUUGAAGGUACAGCGGUGAUACAGGAAGUUAAUGAUACCUAGAACAAGGAACAUGUAUCAAAAAAAAAAACCUGCUACAGCCAGCAAGCAGAGUCAGCCCAGGAAUGAAGUCAAAUGGAACACGUCUAUCAUAGAUACAAAGGAAGGACUUCCCAAGCCCUGUGAAGUUUCACAAUGUAUUACCACAUCCCCAGUCACUGGAUAUAGAAGCACAGGACAUAACGUUUGCCCUAUUGGGUUUUGAUCCUAGCCUUCUGGUUAACACCUCAGUUGUUCUCUUUAGAACUGAAAUGUUCAUCCUGAGUCACGGUGUACUCAAAGUCUCUAAUUUGCCCUUUGAAUUCCGCACAGCUAUGUGUGGAUUAUCUUGUGUCUCAGAGGAGAUUUGGAACUUGGACUUUUGAAUAAUACUGGAACUGUCAAGGCUAGAAAGAUGUGAGCCCUCGAGGGACAGAAGUGAUGUAUGUUGAGUUGAAUGUAAAGAGUCCCCCCCCAACACCACCAAAAGUGCAUAGAAUUAAAUUAUUCCAUCAAUGAACUCAUACUGAAUGGACUCGAAUGAGGUAGGAGCCACCUAGAAGAAGUACAAAGGGACUUGUUCAUUAUACACAAACUCCUGUUCCCCAGCUUCUAGCUCUGGCUGCCCAUUUCCUGUCUGCUGUGAGUUGAGUAGUUUCCCUCCACCAAGGCUUUCUGCCAUCACAUUCUGCUUUGCCCCGGACAUAAAACCAAAGGAGCUAGGUUACCGUGGACUGGAACCUGCAGAGCAAUGAGCCAAAAACAACUCCCCCUCCUUUCAGGUGUUUGGGUUACAUAUUCUUGUCAUGGUAGCGUAAAGCUGGCUUACACAGGUGAGGGAUUCUGUGAAGACAGAGGCAAGAGGGGAGUUAGGCAGCUGGAGACCAAAGAACACCAAAGAUUGCCAGAAGCUGCCAGAAGGUUAAAGAGAGGCUGGGAUGCAAUUUCCUCUGAAGAGCUUCCGGAGGAACCCAACCAUGUUGAUAGAUAGUUACGUUUCUAUUGACUCAUCCAGCUAAUAGUAUUUCUGUAUGGAAGUUGUCAGAAACUUACAAAAGGGGUAGUAGGUAUUCAACCUGAAUACUGAGCCCCCUCCCAAAAAAUCAUAACAAUGUACAAAGUUAAAUAAAUCUAUAUCCUGAAAAAAGCCAUUACAUUUUAUACUCUGUGCUAGAAGAGUAUCAGUUAUAAUGAUUCCAUCCUUCUAUUUCCUGUAGCUGAGCUCCAGCAAUCAUAUAUAGCCAUAAGCUAUAUUUUAAUCAAGCUCGUUUAACCAGAUUUAUCCCUGAUCCCAAAGCCACAGUGAUAAAAUUUUUUAUUGCUUGCUUUUCAAAUCUUAUUGAUAUAAAAUCAUGAUCUUAUACAAAGUGGCUUGCAGUUUUUUCCUGUCCCUAGAUCAUCUAUAAUUCACAUUAGUUUAUUUAUUUGAGUGGCUUUGUAAUAACAUUAUAAAUCUACUUAAAUGACCUACGCAUGAAAAUAAAAUUCAGAGCUACUGAUGUAGCUACAUUUUUCCCAUUGCUACAUGAGCUGAACAUCUAAUGGUUCAUAAUCAUAUACAAAUUCUUUGUUGUAGGGAAAAGAAUUAAAAUUUAAAACUGAUUUUAAAGUUUAUUUUAAUAAUAUGCAGGGGGAAUGAGUGUGUCUAACUCUGAGUUUCCACAAGAAAAGUCCAAUAUUUUUCUUUAACAUAUUCCAUCAAACAUAGUAAAAAGUUGGCUUGCUGUUGUUCUGCAAUCUGACAUUUAGGCUUAUGUUUUUUAAAAUUUUUAUGUUUCUCAUGUUUCUGAUUCAUUACGUUGUGCCUUGAGAGCAUUUCUGUCUCACUUAGUAUUCUGUUGAAUCUGCAGAGAUCUUACUACUUUAAAUGUAUAUACUCUGUUCUUCCAGCAUAAAAAUCAGCCAUUAAGUUGGAAUGGUGGAGCAGCGAUUUCUGGGUUUCAUAGAGAUUAUUGAGGCUUACUUCUUCCUACAGAGACCAUCUAGCUGCCAUCUUACACAUUGAUGACCAAAUAAAAGAUUGACAGAUGUAAAGAAAUUGUGUGUCUUGUCAGACGUCCAUUGGCUUUUUCCAAUAGAGGAAAUGAUCGUUGGCUUUGUUAGCCCUUGGGAAAUGCUGCCAUCCAUUUAAUUAGUAAAGACACUGGUCUCUAACCAAGAUGUGCAUAGAUAGUAAUUUAGGAAACCAAAGGCUAGGAAGAGAGAUACUUUGUAUCAAUGAGGUUAGAGAGGAACGUGAAACAGGAUAGCUCUAGCUGAAAUUGAAUGGAACAGUCAAAUUUCAUUGCUAGGCCUGAUUUCCCUAACAGAAAAUAUUGGAGAUGCUGUAUAUAUGAAUGCCUUCCUGCAUCUUCGUUUUUUGAAAGCAUAUCUUUAAGGCUUUGAGUGUGUGUGUGUGUGUGUGUGUGUGUGUGUGUGUGUGAAGCUCUGUGUAUAUGUAUAUAUAUAAUAUAUUAUAUAAAAUAUAUACACAUUCCUUCACACUAAGAUUUUCUAAAAGUAUUUAUGGUACAUAUAGUAAUAUCCAAAAGCUAUAAUUCCUCAUGGAAACAAUACUUAUAGUAUACUAUUACCUUUUAGAAAUUUUACAAUACUUUAAAAUCAUUUUAAUGACAAGUAAAAAAAAAAUAAACACCAAGUUGGGUGGAUGUUUGCUUUGCAUGGCCAGUACCAUUAAAAUGAAUGAAGCCAGAAUUCAAUUUCUGCAAACUUUUUCAGUUAAAUUGCUUAGAGUAGGAAAUUUGCCCUUACUGAAGUGAAAUAAAUGCAAAUUUAAUUCAUUAGAUGAUGAGACUGGUAUAAAAAUCUUAACAGGAAAUGUAAAUGGUAAUUGAAAAUGGAGAAAGGAGAUUUGUUUUGGUGACACAACAAAUCAUUCAGCAUAAAUUGUAAAAUAUACAAAAAUAUCACCAGAAUAUAUUUCCUGCUAUAUACUAAAUGGUAUACAUUUCUCUUUCAGACACGUGUCUCACGGACACAUAAAAUAAAUGGAACUGAAGAUUCAAGUGGGUGUGAAUGUCGCAGACCUCAGAGAACCAGCAAUGGCCCCUUCUUUUUUUUUUUUUUUUUUUUUUUUUUUUGGUUUUUCAAGACAGGGUUUCUCUGUGUAGCUUUGCGCCUUUCCUGGAACUCUCUUUGGAGACCAGGCUGGCCUCGAACUCACAGAGAUCCGCCUGGCUCUGCCUCCCGAGUGCUGGGAUUAAAGGCGUGCGCCACCACCGCCCGGCAAUGGCCCCUUCUUAUGAGAAGUCCCCAACAAAAACACAACUGAAAACAGAGGCCUGGCUAUGAUCUUGGUUUCCCAACAUGUCUGUCACACACACACCCCGGGGGAAUCAUGCUAACUCUAUGAGCAUCCGUUUCCUCACCUGUAUUAAAUGGCAUUUAAGUAAUCUAUACACAAACCUCUAGCCCUUCCCCUAUCACAAAGAUUUCAUAAGAAUAAAGCAAAAAUAAUGUGAAGUCCCCGGUAAAUGGUAAAACAUUGCAGAGGGGCAACGCUUUAGUGACAUGCAUGUUCCAGAUUUCCAUCCUAGAUGUCUCUUGGAAUAUCCAUGCUGGCAGCCUUCCAAGUUGCCCAUAUUCUCUGGAUUACUAGAAAGCAUGGACUCCACUAACAUCAUUGGAAUGCACACUGCUGGGGCCACUGUAAGGACAUUGUACUAAAUACCCUUUACAAAAGAAGAGUCAUUGCUGACCAACUUGCCAAACGCCGUCCAGUACUAAGAGCUGAGAUGAAAGUUCAUCAUUGUCUACAAUAUGCAUCUUCCCACAAAAGCUAGAGGCCAGGCAUAUGUCUAUUUCCAAAGGUACCACCAGGGUGGGAUAUUCAGAAGUUGUAAAUAAACAUCAUUGUGAUCCCCUUCCAUUAUUCAAAAGCAGAAGCUUAACUUACAGAUUGUCACUGUGCCCUAUAAGGAAUGAUGCAAAACAGUGCUGCUCCCUGAGACCAGAGUCGCCUACAUCAUAGGUCCCAAAAACCUAGUGUUGGACAACACAUUAUACUGCUGUGAUGAUUGAGUUGAAUCAUCAAUAGUUGAAGAUGUGCAAGAAGUUGCUGUUGAAGCAUUUGGUAAAAAGUACACAGUGCAUUAGGAGCCAGAGGAAACCUUUAUCCCAUUGCUCACAACUAGCUUACAUAUUUGAUACACACCUAACACAGGGAAGGCACCCAGUCAUAGUUCAAAUGAGAUAAAAAAGCAAAAACAAAAACAUAAUUCUUCUCUAAAGAUUGCAAAUAUUGUGUGUGUGUGUGUGUGUGUGUGUGUGUGUGUGUGUGUGUGUGUGUGUGUGUGUAUUCUCUUCAGUCAUGGGUAAGAAGAACAGGAGAAAUUCAUACGGUUAAGCAUAAAUUCCAAUCAUAAAAUUUAGGAUAUAUUUAAAAUAUAUUUUCUUCAGAAAAGAAAAUUCCAGGAAUCUAUGAAACGACUUGGUGGGUAAAGGUGAUUUCUGCCAAGCUUGACAGCCUGCAUUGGAACUCAGGGAUCCACAUAGCAAUGGAAGGAAAGAAUUGCCCUCUGACCUCCACAAGUGUACUGUGACAUCUCCUCUCUCAAAAUAAAUAAGAUGUGGGGCUAGAAAGAUGACUCAGUGGUUGAGAGCACUGACUGCUCUUCCAGAGGACCUGGGUUCAAUUCCCAGCACCCACAUGGCAACUUACAACUGUCUGUAACUCCUUAGAACUAGAACGUGAAUCUGACACCCUCAUACAUACAUGCAGGCAAAAGACCAAUGUGCAUAAAAUAAAAAUAAAUUAUUUAAAAAUAAAUAAAUAAGGUGUAAUAAAAUACUUAAUGUCAGUAUCUUUGGCAUUAGGCAUAUACUAUGGUUUUUUUCCUGUCUUGUUUUUUUGUUUGUUUUUUUUUUGGGGGGGGGGUUGUUCUAUAUUAUAGAUGUGGGAUAAUUUCUUUUCAAAUACUUUGUAAAGAAUCAGUUCAAGAGUAAAGCCCGAAGUACUUUAUUAUGAAGUCA